rnacentral:rRNA from 1 species
AACAGGAUUAGAUACCCUGGUAGUCCACGCCCUAAACGAUGUCUACUAGUUGUCGGGUCUUAAUUGACUUGGUAACGCAGCUAACGCGUGAAGUAGACCGCCUGGGGAGUACGGUCGCAAGAUUAAAACUCAAAGGAAUUGACGGGGACCCGCACAAGCGGUGGAUGAUGUGGAUUAAUUCGAUGCAACGCGAAAAACCUUACCUACCCUUGACAUGGCUGGAAUCCCUGAGAGAUUGGGGAGUGCUCGAAAGAGAACCAGUACACAGGUGCUGCAUGGCUGUCGUCAGCUCGUGUCGUGAGAUGUUGGGUUAAGUCCCGCAACGAGCGCAACCCUUGUCAUUAGUUGCUACGAAAGAGCACUCUAAUGAGACUGCCGGUGACAAACCGGAGGAAGGUGGGGAUGACGUCAAGUCCUCAUGGCCCUUAUGGGUAGGGCUUCACACGUCAUACAAUGGUACAUACAGAGCGCCGCCAACCCGCGAGGGGGAGCUAAUCGCAGAAAGUGUAUCGUAGUCCGGAUUGUAGUCUGCAACUCGACUGCAUGAAGUUGGAAUCGCUAGUAAUCGCGGAUCAGCAUGUCGCGGUGAAUACGUUCCCGGGUCUUGUACACACCGCCCGUCACACCAUGGGAGCGGGUUUUACCAGAAGUAGGUAGCUUAACCGCAAGGAGGGCGCUUACCACGGUAGGAUUCGUGACUGGGGUGAAGUCGUAACAAGGUAACC